rnacentral:lncRNA from 1 species
UUUCUUAAGCAGCAAUUCAGUCUAUUUAUAACGAUAUAAUUCAUGGCAAUUAUUGAUUGGGAUCAACAGACCAAUAUUUUAACAAUUUCGAUGUAAAUAGACCAAAUUUAAAACACGAGGGAUUAGAAAAACAUUUGUCACAAGAUCAAGGGGUGAAAGUGUGAUUUUGACAAAAAAAAAAAAAAAGGAAUAAAAGAGUGCCAGACAAUUAUUUCCAUCUCUCGUGCCCGAACGAAGAUCACAGUGGUGGUUCAUCGCACAACAAAAGAGAAAUUAAGAGAUUACAUAAUAACACCCACGUUAUUCUACUAAAUGUUCAUUACACAGCCAGCACACUGGUCCAAAGACUGACCACAAAACAUAAACUAGCAGUCUAACGGGACCAAAGAAAAGCUCCCAUGGCAUACUUCCUUUUCUCUUCAACAUCCCCAGUGAUGGGCAACCCAUACUCUCUGAGCAGGCAAUCAAGUUUCCAUUCUUGCAUGGUCUCAUAGUCGUCUCUGGUGUAUCUUGGGUAGUGCAGCGGCAUCUGAAAGCUCCCACUCUGCUCCUUUUCGUGCUGCCCAUUUUGUCCUUUAUUGCCUCUGUUUGAAGCUGGCCUCUGCACUGACUCCAUUCCACCUUCACUCAUAUUUUGCCCAGCAACUUGUAUGCGUUAGAGUUACUUGGCCAGAUAUGCAAGUUAGUUGUAGAAAGGUGGUGGCUUUUAUAGAGUUUAAUGAGAGACUGUGGAACGCAAGGGACCCAGACGUCGUCGAGGUAGGGUAAUGCUGCAAUAUUCAUUGUUGAGAAAACAAUGCUGAUUGCCCUGUGACUUGUG